GGGCCUGUGGGAAGGAGCUGUGGGAGCGGGAGCCGUGAGACGGGGCUGGGGGAGUAGCUGGGGCGCACCUGCCAGAGGAUUCAGCUCCGGGUGUGAGAAAGAGUUGGGGAGGAACUAGGGCAGUGAGCGGGAAGGAGCAGGACGGAGCCGGCGGCAAUGUUGCGGAGGAGGUGCUCUGCCAAGAGCAGGCGUCCAGUCGGCGCCGCAGCGGUGUGAACAACGCGGCUGCCCCAGCGACCUCAGCGACCUCGGGUGACUCUCAGAAUGGACCCCGAGAAUACGGAGGCCGGGAGGGGCGGCGGGGACGUGUCGGGUGAGAAGAGAAAUUCUCCUGUGUUUCCUGCUGCGCCUCUAACCUGACCUGUGCCAGAUGAAGCCAACGGCCCUGUCGGUGCUGUUUCCUAUCCUCUACCUCCCAGUCAGGGGCUCCACACACUCAGUGUUGUGUCGCUUUGCUCCUUGGGUUUCCUUACCCUCACCCUCCUUCCGCAGUUGCUUGGUGACCGAGUCCUGUGUCCCUGCCUCUCACAUGCCUGAUCAGAAUAAAUUCUCCUCUUGCUGUC